UACCAGCUCCCCGAGUGGUGGGGACGAUUAUUGGGCCUAAAGCGUCCGUAGCCGGCUUAGUAAGUUUCCCGUUAAUCCGACGAUCCAAUCGCCGGGCUGCGGGAAAUACUGUUAAGCUAGGAGGCGGGAGAGGCCGGCGGUACUUCUGGGGUAGGGGUGAAAUCCUUUAAUCCCAGACGGACCACCAGUGGCGAAGGCGGCCGGCCAGAACGCGCUCGACGGUGAGGGACGAAAGCUGGGGGAGCGAACCGG
rnacentral:rRNA from 1 species